rnacentral:lncRNA from 1 species
GGUAUCUCGAGGUAGUAUAAGGAGGAUGGGAGAGGGGAAGAAAAUGCUAGACUGUGAGAGUUGUGAGCCGGGAUAAGCUUGGUGCUACCUCUUUUCUUUUGUUUGUUAUUUUCUUUGAAUAAGAGGAUUGAAAGUUUUUGAAUAUUGUGAAGUGAAUUAUAGAAUGGAAAUGUGAUUGGUAUUAUUUGAGAAGAAGAAAGAUUGAAUGCUGAAAUCUGAUUGUAGUUCAGUAGAGAGAAUGAGUCUGUGUUUGUGUAAAACACUAUAAUGUGAAUGGCAGUUCUGUGUGAAGAAUUCCAAAGAUUGAAAUGAGGGUAAUUGUGUGCUGAAAGCUGUGAGGGCGCAGUAUUAUAGUUGGAGAUUAUGAGGGUGAAUAUAUUGGUAGAAAUAGCAGUUAUUGGUAUGAAUGAAUUGCUGUAAGGAAGAGACCGAUAAAGUGAAUGAGGAGAUUACAGUUUCU